rnacentral:lncRNA from 1 species
UCAAUUUUGAUUUCAGCUUCUUCCCUAUGUGUUUACUUUACAGUUGCUAUACUCCUAUUUACUUUGUUGUUCAUGUUCUGAAAUGAAUGUGCUACUUUCUCUUUGCAUUUGUUGUUCGUCAUGAAUUUCCCAUACCCUCACCCCUCCUAUGUGUGUGAGUUAAGGCUCAUGGCCCGACAAUAUCCAUAUUGCUGCCCAGGUCUGAACCAUAUCCACAAUGGAUCCUAACUCCUAGGAUUGAGCUAACAGGCUAGUUAGAGGUGUGCCAGCACUCCUAGUUGAUGGGCAUGACCACCACCCUACCAUGGCUUUCCCUAAUUCCCUCUUUAUGCACUUGCACUUACUCUUAGACGCUAAGCUAUGCCCCCUUCUUAUGCGCCUUGAUUUGGGACCUUGAGUUCCCUCUAAACUUGGACAUUUGAGGACUGGCCAUU